rnacentral:lncRNA from 1 species
UGUUGACCAAAGGAGGCUGGGAGUGAAGGACAGGAGAACGACCUCUUUCUGUUGUGUUGCUCCUCCUGUGCUUAUAGAAGCAGGGUUUUGUACAGUCUUCCAAAUGAACAGAGCUUCAGCAGACAUACCUGAUUGCAUCUCCUCCUCACUGGAAUAAGCGAGAAGAGCCUGAAUUUUCAUUAACUCUGCAGCCUAGAGGGAUAACAAGGCAUUUUACAGGAACCAGAGAGGCAGGCAGGGUGGCUGUGUUCUGUUUGCAGUGCGAAGCACAGUGCCUGCACUGAUUGCGAGGUGAUUUGGCUUCUCGUUUUUGAGUGUCUGAGUUUCCAGCAGUGAAAUGGAGAUGUUCAGUCUGGCACCAAGCUGCAGGGAGAAAUACUGCCUGCUUUGCAAGCCAGCUCUGUGAAGCGACACACAUGCAUUUUUCAACGCAUGCAAAUCUCUGCAUACACUGCUGCAGAUCUCCACAGAGCAAAGAGCAUCUCACAGAGGGGAGAGGGGUGCUUACAAAAGGUAACCCCUGAAAGGCAGCUGUGUCAGGAGCCUCUGCCAUGCAAGUCGUUUUUUUUUUUUUUUUCUCCUGAAAACAGAAAGGGAAAAAGCCUUCCUCCCUAUCUUUGUAACUGAGACAGCCACUGUCUCUCCCUACUUCUGGGUUUCUCGUUUUUCCUUCUAGUAUAUAAUGGGAAAGCAUGUUAGGCCCAGAGCUCAGACGUGGGAGUCUGCGAGAGAGAGCGGCAGCUCCAAGACAAAAUGUGUCUGCACCGCAGGGAGGGAGCGGACGCCUUCCUGAACUUCCCACGCUGGGGAGGAGCUGCCCUGGAGGGACAGAUUCACUUCUGUGGCAAGACAGGGCUUUAUCAGGGUGGUGGCAGCCCUGGAGAAUCCCCAUGCUCCCGCUCUGCAGCCACAAGAGGACGAGGCCCAGACCCACUCCACACACCCGCCUGGGUGCUCUGGGCCUCAUUGCCCGCCAGCCCCAACCUGCACAGGGUCCUGGCAUGGGGCACCCACAGCAGUGACAACUUGUGGCACCUGCUUAAUGUCCAAUUUUGACUGACCAAUACAUUUCUGGUGGAGCCAUUGCAGAGGGAUAACUGCUGCCCUGACCGGGAGCCAAGCCGGAGCACAAAGGGCAGCGGUUUCCUCCCGCGGCUGGGGAGCACGGGAUGGGAGCACAUCCUGCUUCCUCUCCUGCCACAAAAAUCCCACAGGGGAGGAAAUGCCGGAGUUAACAUCCCCUUGUAAUGUAAGCAAGGGUGCGCUUACCAAGAGGACUGUCUCCAAAAGCCCAGGCCGUGCUAUUUCUCCCAGAGGGGUGUCCUGGAGGACCAGCUGUGCUGCUGGUGGGAGCUGCCCUGCUUCUGCUGAGCUCAGUUGCUGUCACCCAAGAGCAUCUGAGGAGCCUAUUGUUGCAUGUUGAAAGAGAAAGAUGCACGUAAACGUGCACACCUCUGCAGAUCCCCACCAGUGGGCUGCCCAGCUGUGAGUGGGAAAUCAGGAUGGCCUGGGGAGCAUCACACUGCUGGCUCACCAGAAAGCAUGGGCACCCCGGGACCCAUCUCUCAUCCACUCCCUGACUGUGCAAGAAGCUGUUCUCUCUUCUGUCCUCUAAUAUCACUCCUCCAGGACCUGACAUCCACCCAAGUGCACUGUGUACUUUAUAUGAGACCUAAUUCUGCCUGACCAGCAACGUUUGCAAGUUGUGAUGCUCAGAUUUGGGGUCAAUAACUUAAGAGUCAUGAACUGGAGCAAGACAAGACUUGGCAGACAAAGCAGAUUUCCAUUUGACUUUGUGUUGUGUGUUAAAAUGGAGGCACUGGAGUUUGCACCAACCUUUAAGCCACAUGGUUUCUGAAAGCCCACCUCAAAAAGUCAUUGACUCAUUUCUGUCUCCAGCUUCUGUGCAUGCAAUAAGUGCCCCUAGGACCUUCUGUGGGUUGCCUUUAGGCAAAGGAUGGAGCAAAAUACCUCCAGUUUCGGUGGUUCUACUGUCAGCCUGGCAGUGUGAUAUUGCAGUCA